rnacentral:rRNA from 1 species
GAUGAACGCUGGCGGCGUGCCUAAUACAUGCAAGUCGAGCGAAAGGACGAGAAGCUUGCUUCUCUGAUGUUAGCGGCGGACGGGUGAGUAACACGUGGAUAACCUACCUAUAAGACUGGGAUAAUUUCGGGACACCGGAGCUAAUCCCGGAUGAUCUUUUGAACCGCAUGGUUCAAAAGUGAAAGACGGUCUUGCUGUAACUUAUAGAUGGAUCCGCGCUGCAUUAGCUGGUUGGUAAGGUAAAGGCUUACCAAGGCGACGAUGCGUUGCCGACCUGAGAGACGGAUAGCCGGCAUGGGAACUGAGACGCGGUCCUGGCUCCUGAGAUAGGCAGCAGUAGGGAAUCGGCCGCAGUGGUGGGGAACCUGACGGAGCGACGCGGCGUGAGUUAUAGAGAUCUUCGGUUCGUGAUGCUCGGUUAUUAGUGGAGAACAGAUUUCGAAUUAGCUGAACACAGCGUGACGGUACCGAAUCAGAAAGCCACGGCUAACUACGUG